GGCGGCAGGCCUAACACAUGCAAGUCGAGCGCGAAAGGACCUCGGUCUGAGUAGAGCGGCGGACGGGUGAGUAACGCGUAGGAAUCUACCCGGUAGUGGGGGACAACUCGGGGAAGCUCGAGCUAAUACCGCAUACGCCCUGAGGGGGAAAGCGGGGGAUCUUCGGACCUCGCGCUAUCGGAAGAGCCUGCGUUGGAUUAGCUAGUUGGUGAGGUAAAGGCUCACCAAGGCGACGAUCCAUAGCUGGUCUGAGAGGAUGAUCAGCCACACCGGGACUGAGACACGGCCCGGACUCCUACGGGAGGCAGCAGUGGGGAAUAUUGCGCAAUGGGCGAAAGCCUGACGCAGCCAUGCCGCGUGUGUGAAGAAGGCCUUCGGGUUGUAAAGCACUUUCACUUGGGAGGAAAAGUUGGAGGCUAAUACCCUUCAGCCUUGACGUUACCUUGAGAAGAAGCACCGGCUAACUCCGUGCCAGCAGCCGCGGUAAUACGGAGGGUGCGAGCGUUAAUCGGAAUUACUGGGCGUAAAGCGCGCGUAGGCGGUUUGUUAAGUCGGAUGUGAAAGCCCCGGGCUCAACCUGGGAAUUGCAUCCGAUACUGGCCAACUGGAGUGCGAGAGAGGGAGGUAGAAUUCCACGUGUAGCGGUGAAAUGCGUA
rnacentral:rRNA from 1 species